rnacentral:tRNA from 1 species
GUUCCCGUCUUCUAACUGGUUAGGAUACCAGACUUUCAAUCUGGCGAUACGGGUUCAAAUCCCGUCGGGAAUACCA